rnacentral:tRNA from 1 species
GCGGGAUUAGCUCAGUUGGUAGAGCACCUGACUCUUAAUCAGGGUGUCCAGGUUCGAACCCCUGAUCUCGCACCA